AAUCUUAGCAAAAUCUCAACAAAAGCUACUCAAAAUCUCUACAACAUCCUUACCGGAUCUUGUCUCAAAAGUUGAGACAUAUACCAUCUAUAAGAUCCAAUCACCUCCCCAUCUUUACAAAACAAAACCUUAUCUUCUCAAAUCCCUCUCUAAAAUACACACACACAUUACACAAACUCAAAAUCACACCAUCAGACUCCCCUUCCUCCUUCCCCUUCUUCUUCGAUUUCAAAACCACAACCAGACACCCCCUUUCUCUUCUCUCUGUUCAAUCGCCGGCGACCAGGAGCCGGUCACCGGUGCCGGCCGUCGCACACCCCCCCCCCUCUUCGUUAAUCACCCACCACACCACCCACCUUCGCGCAAAUCAGAGACAAAGACGAGAGAGAAAGAGAGACGAGACAGAGAGAGAGAGAGAGCGCCGGAGAUAGGAGCGGCACCGCCGCUCACGGCGGCGGCGGUGGAGCCGACGACGACAACAGCAGAACCGUCGUGGCGGUGACGACUCUCAGGCGACACGUUUUCAUAUCCGAUUGGCCCGGUAAGUUCCGAUUCACUAAGUUCUGGUAGUUUUAUGGUUUGCACAUUUCUGAUUUUUGGGGUUCCGGUGAUGUUUUCUGUUUCCGGUCGUUGCUCCGGUGAAGAAAAUGACGGUAGUGUUAAGGUUGAGCUGAUGAAGAGGGUGGUGUUGGUGUUAUUUCGGGCUCGGCUUGGUUCGGUUCGGGUGUAGGUGCACUUCAGAUUAGUUUUCGGGUUUUUCAAGUCAACUCUCAACAGUGGUUCAAGUCGUGCUUCAGGUUAAAGUGAGCCAGGUUCAGAUGGUUGUACAGCAGAUUUGGGUCUCAGCUCAGAUCGGGUUCGGUUCGGUCAACAACGGGUCUUGGUUUCGGUGUCAGAUUAUGAAGCGGUUCAGUUGACUCGGUCAAACCGAGUUAACUCGGUCAACACGGUCAAACCGAGUCAACUCCGUUGACUCGGUCAACUCGGUCAGCCUACUCGACUAAGCGACGUGAGAAUUUCGGGAUAUUGUAGAAUGCACGCCAGCGAGUCUCAUCUUGGAAACGACAUCACGAAGUCGUAAUUAGCUAGCUUCGCACAAGGCAAUUCAGGUUGCAUUUCAAAGUCGAGGCACGGUUGGAAUAGGGGGACCAUUGGGGAUUCGAGUACUUAGCGGGCGUUCAAUUUCUAGAUAGUCUAUGCUUAUUUGCUUCCGCUGUGCAAUAAAGAUACCAUUCCAGUCACACCAGCUCUGAUAAUUUCAGGGUGUGACAAGCGGAAGCAUAAGUUCAAAAACCAAAAAUAUAAGUCAAACGUUUUAUAAGUUUAUCAUGAACACACAACGGUUCAUGUCC